ensembl:lncRNA
CUUAAAAGAAAGGUCCGGACUAGACUUUUGAUAGUGAAACCAGAAGUGUCUCCAUCGUUCCACACAUGUAGUUUUCCAAAACAGUCAGAGAUGAAAAGAUUUGCCUACAUUCUCAGCGAAAAGAAGGCGAUGUUUUGUCAAGCCUGAAAGCAGAAGUAAACCUACCACUACCUCAAUCUCCAGAUCACAUGCAGACUGAUGGCAAGGACCCAAGUUAUAGCAAUGAUGAAGUCCCUGCAUUCGUCCCAUCAGGGAGAACAACAGCUAUUUGCAAUAGACGGACACCUUGUCAAUGCAUUCCAAGCCCUGCCGCUGAUGAGGAUUCUCCUGAAGUGCAACACAGGAGUCGCUGGUAGUUGUUUUAUUAUAAGUAGUAUUUGUUCAAGAGUAAAACAAAGCAUCGGACUGAUAUCGGUAUCGGCAUAUAGCCAAAGCUGCGGUUUCGGUAUCAAAAGUGAAAAGUGGUAUCGGGACAAUCCAAUACAAAUAUUGUAGAAAAAUAUUUAAGUUGUUGAUCUAUCUGAUGUCUUUUUUAGUUUAAUUUCGACUUUGAGUAUUUACAUUCAUACUAUUGAUUGAAUUCAUACAAAGACUCACACAGCAGUUCAUACAACACCAACUCUAUGUAGAAUUGCAAACAGGUCAAACAUGAG